GACGAACGCUGGCGGCGUGCCUAAUACAUGCAAGUAGAACGCUGAAGAGAGGAGCUUGCUCUUCUUGGAUGAGUUGCGAACGGGUGAGUAACGCGUAGGUAACCUGCCUUGUAGCGGGGGAUAACUAUUGGAAACGAUAGCUAAUACCGCAUAACAAUGGAUGACACAUGUCAUUUAUUUGAAAGGGGCAAUUGCUCCACUACAAGAUGGACCUGCGUUGUAUUAGCUAGUAGGUGAGGUAAUGGCUCACCUAGGCGACGAUACAUAGCCGACCUGAGAGGGUGAUCGGCCACACUGGGACUGAGACACGGCCCAGACCCCUACGGGAGGCAGCAGUAGGGAAUCUUCGGCAAUGGGGGCAACCCUGACCGAGCAACGCCGCGUGAGUGAAGAAGGUUUUCGGAUCGUAAAGCUCUGUUGUAAGUCAAGAACGGGUGUGAGAGUGGAAAGUUCACACUGUGACGGUAGCUUACCAGAAAGGGACGGCUAACUACGUG
rnacentral:rRNA from 1 species